rnacentral:rRNA from 1 species
UACGAAGGGGGCUAGCGUUGUUCGGAAUUACUGGGCGUAAAGCGCGCGCAGGCGGUCUUCCAAGUCAGUGGUGAAAGCCUGGAGCUCAACUCCAGAACUGCCAUUGAAACUGUUAGACUUGAGUACGAGAGAGGUGAGUGGAAUUCCCAGUGUAGAGGUGAAAUUCGUAGAUAUUGGGAAGAACACCAGUGGCGAAGGCGGCUCACUGGCUCGUAACUGACGCUCAAGCGCGACAGCGUGGGGAUCAAACAGG